UACAGAGGUCCCAAGCGUUGUUCGGAUUCAUUGGGCGUAAAGGGUGCGUAGGCGGUGAGGUAAGUCUGGUGUGAAAUCCCGGGGCUCAACCCCGGAACUGCACUGGAUACUGCUUUACUAGAGUACUGGAGAGGGAACUGGAAUUUACGGUGUAGCAGUGAAAUGCGUAGAUAUCGUAAGGAAGACCAGUGGCGAAGGCGAGUUCCUGGACAGUUACUGACGCUGAGGCGCGAAGGCCAGGGGAGCAAACGGG
rnacentral:rRNA from 1 species